AGAGUUUGAUCCUGGCUCAGGAUGAACGCUAGCGACAGGCUUAACACAUGCAAGUCGAGGGGCAGCAGGAGCGAAGCAAUUCGCUUGCUGGCGACCGGCGCACGGGUGAGUAACACGUAUGCAACCUGCCCCCGGCUGGGGCAUAAGCGGUAGAAAUGCCGUCUAAUUCCCCAUGCCGCGUCAGAGGGACAUCCCUUUGGCGCGAAAGGAUUUAUCCGGCCGGGGAUGGGCAUGCGGCGCAUUAGGCAGUUGGCGGUGCAACGGACCACCAAACCGACGAUGCGUAGGGGUUCUGAGAGGAAGGCCCCCCACACUGGUACUGAGACACGGACCAGACUCCUACGGGAGGCAGCAGUGAGGAAUAUUGGUCAAUGGGCGAGAGCCUGAACCAGCCAAGUCGCGUGAGGGAAGACGGCCCUACGGGUUGUAAACCUCUUUUGCCGGGGAGCAAAGGCGCCCACGCGUGGGUGUUCGAGAGUACCCGGAGAAAAAGCAUCGGCUAACUCCGUGCCAGCAGCCGCGGUAAUACGGAGGAUGCGAGCGUUAUCCGGAUUUAUUGGGUUUAAAGGGUGCGUAGGCGGGCGGCCAAGUCGGCGGUGAAAGCCCGGGGCUCAACCCCGGCGAGCCGUCGAAACUGGCCGUCUUGAGUGGGCGAGAAGCGCGCGGAAUUCGUGGUGUAGCGGUGAAAUGCAUAGAUAUCACGAAGAACUCCGAUUGCGAAGGCAGCGCGCCGGCGCCCUACUGACGCUGAGGCACGAAAGCGUGGGGAUCGAACAGGAGGAGAUACCCUGGUAGUCCACGCAGUAAACGAU
rnacentral:rRNA from 1 species